rnacentral:rRNA from 1 species
GGGCCCGCACAAGCAGCGGAGCAUGUGGUUUAAUUCGAAGCAACGCGAAGAACCUUACCUAGACUUGACAUCUCAUGAAUAGCGUAGAGAUACGUGAAGCCCUUCGGGGCAGGAAGACAGGUGGUGCAUGGUUGUCGUCAGCUCGUGUCGUGAGAUGUUGGGUUAAGUCCCGCAACGAGCGCAACCCUUAUCAUUAGUUGCUACCAUUAAGUUGAGCACUCUAGUGAGACUGCCCGGGUUAACCGGGAGGAAGGCGGGGGAUGACGUCAAAUCAUCAUGCCCCUUAUGUCUAGGGCUACACACGUGCUACAAUGGUGAGAACAACGAGAUGCAAUACCGCGAGGUGGAGCCAAACUUGAAAACUCAUCCCAGUUCGGAUUGUAGGCUGAAAUUCGCCUACAUGAAGUUGGAGUUGCUAGUAAUCGCGAAUCAGAAUGUCGCGGUGAAUACGUUCCCGGGCCUUGUACACACCGCCCGUCACACCAUGAGAGCUGGUAACACCCGAAGUCCGUGAGGUAACCUUUAUGGGGCCAGCGGCCGAAGGUGGGAUUAGUGAUUGGGGUGAAGUCGUANCAAGGUAGCCGUAGGAGAACCUGCGGCUGGAUCAC